rnacentral:lncRNA from 1 species
UUUCACAAUUUUCUUUCCUCUUCCUGCAAAUUAGACGCCUUCAACUCUCUCUCUCUCCUUCACCGUAGAUCUCAUCACAAACAUAGAGAAAUUACUAUCAUCAUUCUGAUUGGAGAACACCGAUGGCUUUUUUCGAUAUGGCAACGACAAAGAAGGAUUGCGAUCGGGCUUGACGAUCAUGGUGCCAGAGAUGUUCCACAUACAUCGUCGUCAUCGUAAUCGUUAUUGAAACCUAUAGCGGCGACAUCGAAGUCCUCCGGGAUGCGUUUAAGGAGAGGAGGGAGAGAUUCAUCAUCGUCUUCGUCGUCUUCCGGGUCGUCUCGAUGGAGCAUAGUUGCGAAGAUGUUUGGUUGGUCGUUAGAGUUAACCCUCGGUUCAUCGUUUUGGUUUUCGUCGUCGUUGUGAACGACGAAUGUAGAGUAGAUGUUAACUGAUUUAUUUUGGGGUUUCCGGCUCCGGCGAGAGCUGGAAGAGAAUUCCAUUACGUGAGUUAUAGUGUCCGUUAUGUAAGUUGAGCUAUUAACCACUCCCUCCGAUUUGCAUCAGUAAUUAGUCAUACAUGAUGAACAAUUUAAGGCGAAGUUUGGGGAAUUUUGGGGAAGACGGAGAAAAUGAAGAAAAUCCUAAAAUUUGGGGAAGAUGAAUAAAAUGAAGAAAAACUCUAAAUUUUUUCUUUUGUUUUGAUGAAGAUUUGUUUUGAUGAAUAUGGU